rnacentral:rRNA from 1 species
UGGGGAAUCUUGCACAAUGGGGGCAACCCUGAUGCAGCGACGCCGCGUGAGCGAUGAAGCCCUUCGGGGCGUAAAGCUCUUUCGACCGGAACGAUAAUGACGGUACCGGGAGAAGAAGCUGCGGCUAACUACGUGCCAGCAGCCGCGGUAAUACGUAGGCAGCAAGCGUUGUUCGGAGUUACUGGGCGUAAAGAGUGCGUAGGCGGUUUUCUAAGUUCGGUGUGAAAUCUCCCGGCUUAACUGGGAGGGUGCGCCGAAGACUGGGAAGCUGGAGUGCGGGAAAGGCAGGCGGAAUUCCUGGUGUAGCGGUGAAAUGCGUAGAUAUCAGGAGGAACACCGGCGGUGUAGACGGCUUGCUAAACCAUAACUGACGCUGAGGCACGAAAGCGUGGGUAGCAAACA